UUUGACGAGUUAAUUAUUGAGGUAGCUAAUAGAAAAUUAGACGUAUUUCAAUGUCGUGAUUGUUCGUGGAAAUUCGCCAAUCGUCGCGAGUUGUUUAACCAUCGCCGAGAAGAACACAGAAGAAAACGACAUGCAUUGAAACACAUUGUUUAUCAACACAAAGACGUUGAUUGUGUUGCAUUAGAUCUUCAAAUAUUACAUCCAGUGUGUGAUAGUGGCAGGCGCUUGCUGUUUGAACGGAUUGAAAUCAGCGCCGAGACCAGUCAAAAUCAAGGAUUCCUCCCACAGACGUUUCGCAUCUUCGGUUUUCCGGCAUUGGUGGAGUAACGCGCCGGCGCACAUUCCUUGUAAUAUUUAGCCGUUUCAUUAGCGGCUUCUUCCGCAACACAGCAAUGGAUACUAGUCUGCGCGCCUUGCACCACACUCUUCGCGAAUACCUUCGCGUAGAGUUUGAAUGGAACAGUGAUGAAGACGUUGAAACUAUCGGAAAGAUGUCUGCCAAGGUCGGAAUGGAUCACACCGGGAUGCAGAGUGUACGUAUGCACAUUUUUUAUAUCAGCGGCUGCGGAAAAUUGAAAUUAGUUGAGGUUAUAUGUAUGUUUGGUUGCAUACCUUCCAGGCGACGUGCCAAUUCAGUGGUGAAUAAAAUAUUCGCCAGUUUACUUUG